UACGGGGGGGCAAGCGUUGUCCGGAUUUAUUGGGCGUAAAGAGCUCGUAGGUGGUUCGGUAAGUCGGAUGUGAAAUCUCCAGGCUCAACCUGGAGGGGUCAUUCGAUACUGCCGUGACUAGAGUUCGGUAGGGGAGUGUGGAAUUCCUGGUGGAGCGGUGAAAUGCGCAGAUAUCAGGAGGAACACCCGUAGCGAAGGCGGCACUCUGGGCCGAUACUGACACUGAGGAGCGAAAGCGUGGGGAGCGAACAGG
rnacentral:rRNA from 1 species